CACGAAACGUUUGUUCGCCACCACAGCAACCUAACUAAAUGUAUUAUAUUUUUUGUAUUUUUAUAAUUGAUGAUAAAAAUACGCAAAUAUUUAUUGUUUUUAUCAUAAAUCACAAAUAUACAAUAAUUAGUACUUAGUUAGGUUGCUGUGGCCUGUGGUGGCGAACAAACGUUUCGUG
rnacentral:miRNA from 1 species